UGGAAAUGGUACUUUAGAUCAAAUCAGUUGUAAAGAGUUUAUAACUGGUUGUCCAGAAGAGGCUUUCCGAGGAAAUGGCUUCUACAAUUUUUCAGCUUGCAGUAAAAUCAACACAGAAAAGAAAUGUUUUUAUGCAGACCCAUCAUGUCCGAACACGACAGAAUCCAUCACUCUCCACCCAAGUACAACAGAUGAUUUGUUUAAUACCACAACCAAUGCCACGUUGAAAAUAUUGACCACAGGAACUAGUAUUGCAGAUGAAGAAUCAAGCAAUGUAGGAGUGAUCAUUGGAAUUAUCCUCUGUCUACUACUUCUACAGCUCCUUGUUUUUGCCUAUAUAUUCUGGAA